rnacentral:piRNA from 1 species
ACGGAUGUGCUGUGUGUAGAGAGGG